rnacentral:rRNA from 1 species
UGCCAGACUCCUACGGGAGGCAGCAGUGGGGAAUAUUGCACAAUGGGGGAAACCCUGAUGCAGCGAUGCCGCGUGGAGGAAGAAGGUUUUCGGAUUGUAAACUCCUUUUAUCAGGGACGAUAAUGACGGUACCUGACUAAGAAGCCCCGGCUAACUACGUGCCAGCAGCCGCGGUAAUACGUAGGGGGCAAGCGUUAUCCGGAUUUACUGGGUGUAAAGGGGGCGCAGACGGCAAUGCAAGCCAGGAGUGAAAGCCCGGGGCCCAACCCCGGGACUGCUCUUGGAACUGCAUGGCUGGAGUACAGGAGGGGCAGGCGGAAUUCCUAGUGUAGCGGUGAAAUGCGUAGAUAUUAGGAGGAACACCGGUGGCGAAGGCGGCCUGCUGGACUGUGACUGACGUUGAGGCCCGAAGGCGUGGGGAGCAAACAGGAUUAGAUACCCGAGUA